GGGGGUGGGGGGAGGCAGGGAGCACGCGGACAAAGGAGGCGGCCGGCGGCCCAGCUGUUUUGAAAAAUGCUUCCUGUUUCUUUAAAGGCUCUCGCGGCUCGGGCGGCCGGGGCUGGGGAGGCGGUGGCGGCGGGAGCUGCCUCCUCUCCGGACGGCGGCGCUGACUGAUCUCGCGAACUGGGCUUCUGUGUAAACUGAGGCUAAACAAACACAGAUGGAGCGCAGCGGGCGUUCUCCAGAAAUGCUGGCAAGGCGGCAGCGACUUCAGAUGACACUCUGAGCGCUCCGGGAACGGACAGCCCGGCGGCUUCGCGGAGCCGGCAGCGCAGCUGCCCCGGGCAAGGGGGAGAAAGGGAGAGAGGGAGGGGGAGGCGGGCGAAGGGGGAGAGCCGAGACUCCUCGGCGCUGAGCGCGGCGGCGGCCCGGGCAGCCCCACGCCCCUGCCUCGCGCGCCGCCCGCGCCAUGAAGCACAUCCCGGUCCUCGAGGACGGACCGUGGAAGACCGUGUGCGUGAAAGAGCUGAACGGCCUCAAGAAGCUCAAGCGGAAAGGCAAGGAGCCGGCGCGGCGCGCGAACGGCUAUAAAACUUUCCGAUUGGACUUGGAAGCUCCCGAGCCCCGCGCCGUCGCCACCAACGGGCUGCGGGACAGGACCCAUCGGCUGCAGCCGGUCCCGGUCCCGGUGCCGGUGCCAGCCCCAGUGGCGCCGGCCGCUCCUCCAAGAGGGGGCGCGGACACAGCCGGGGAGCACGGGGGCUCCCGGGUGCCUGAGGUCUCCGACGCGCGGAAACGCGGCUUUGCCCUGGGCGCAGUGGGGCCAGGACUCCCCACGACGACGACGCCACCUCCCCCUGUGCCCCAGAGCCUGGCACCUGGGGGCGCAGAGACACAGCCUUUCCGAGAGCCGGGUCUGCGUCCCCGCAUCUUGCUGUGCGCACCGCCAGCGCGCCCCAAGCCGUCCGCGCCCCCAGCGCCGCCAGCGCCGCCAGCGCCCCCGGAGUCCACAGUGCGCCCCCCGCCCCCCGCGCGCCCCGGGGAAAGUUCCUACUCGUCAAUUUCACACGUAAUUUACAAUAACCACCCGGAUUCCUCUGCGUCGCCUAGGAAACGACCAGGCGAAGCGACUGCCGCCUCCUCGGAGAUCAAAGCCCUGCAGCAGACCCGGAGGCUCCUGGCGAACGCCAGGGAGCGGACGCGGGUGCACACCAUCAGCGCAGCCUUCGAGGCGCUCAGGAAGCAGGUGCCGUGCUACUCGUAUGGGCAGAAGCUGUCCAAACUGGCCAUCUUGAGGAUCGCCUGUAACUACAUCCUGUCUCUGGCACGGCUGGCUGACCUUGACUACAGUGCCGACCACAGCAACCUCAGCUUCUCCGAGUGUGUGCAGCGCUGCACCCGCACCCUGCAGGCCGAGGGACGUGCCAAAAAGCGCAAGGGAGGCAGCAAGGACUCAACUGACAAUCCACCGCCCCAGCCCUGCACGUGUGGAACCUACAUUCUAAUGGGUGGAAGUAACUCCAAGUAGGCCCUGCAGCAUCGUGGCGUGCAUGGAGUGACUGGCUACAGGAGAGACCGAGGCCACAGCUGUGAGCCCUCCUACCCAUCAGGCCUGAGGACAAGUAAUAGACCACCAAUUUCUAGUUGUGUGGACGGCCACUAGAAUGAAGACAAUGUAUCUCAGCUUCCUGUGGAGCUCUGCAAGGCUGUGAGACUGAGUUCUAGCCAAUGGGUGUGAACAGAAGAGGGCAAAAUAAAAACAGCGACCUUCAAUUUUCUCUGAUUCAUGAGCUAUUAACUCAACUUGAAGACACUAAGCUUCAAAAAAAAAAAAGCACUUGUGGCUACAAAAAUGCCAGUCCAGUGUCACCAAUUACCCAAGGGUGGCACCCUCAUCCUGCUGGAGAUGGUGCAUUGAUUGGCUGCUUCGAGAGCCCUUUUCCAACCUGGGAAACCUUCAGUUUAAGUUUAAACAUGAAGAUAGUGAAAUAAGGUAAGCCUUUAGAAGCAAAGCUUUCCUUUCAUGUUAAGUUUAGAAGUAAUCUGCAUAUGUUUGUUUCCUUAAAAUACUAUAAUAGUCUAAAGAAUCUAACAUAUUCAAGACCGACAGAUUAGCCUGUUGCCUCCAGUUUUAAAUAUGUAAUAGAAUUUAGACUUGUCAUGGAACCAACCUAAGUGUCCACCAACUGUGGAUUGGAUAAAGAAAAUGUGGUUUGUAUACCCCAUGAAAUACUCUGCAGCCAUAAAAAAAAGAAUGAAAUCAUGUCCUUUGCAGCAACAUGGAUGGAGCUGGAGGCCAUUAUCCUAAGUGAACUAACUCAGGCACAGAAAAUCAAAAACCUCAUGUUGUCGCUUGUAAGUAGGAGCUAAACCAUGGGUAUACGUGGACGUAAAGAUGGAGAUAAUAGACACUGGGGACCCCAGAAAUGGGGAGGGGUCUGAAUGGGAGGGGAGAAGGGGAGAAGGGUUGAAGAAUUGCCUAUUGCAUAUAAUGUUCAGUAUUUGGAUGAUGGGCACACUGGAAGCCCGGUCUCCACUAUUACGCGUGUAGUACCCAUGUAACGAACAAGUACAUGUACUCCCUGAAUCUAAAAUUAAAACACUUUUUUAAAAGAAUUUAGAAUUGUGAUUUUAAGUUGUAAAGGGAAAAAAUUCACCCCUAAUAAUAUUGUUGUAAAUAUUAUUAGGAUUUCAAAGAAAACUGAUGCUUUGCCAUUUUAAUACCAUUUUAUUUCUUAGAUUUAUAAGAAUUUGUUAUUUGAAGAUAUUUUGCUUGUUAAAGCCAUAAGUUUGUUUUGUUAGGUAACUGAAAUGCUUACAAAAGAAAUGUAAUAUAUUACAUUUAUAAAGCAGUUCAUGGUGUUUAAGAGAAUAUAAUUAAUUAAAUGUACAAAUGAUUAUUCAGGGAGCUGAGUAUCUUCAAGUUGAAUUAAUAGCUCAUUAAUCAAAGAAAAUUGAAGGUCAGUGUUUUUAUUUUUCCCCUUUUAUAAACAGAGUAACAAGAUUUGUAGUCUGAAUAUAACAGCUAAGGAUAACUAGGUAAUUUCAUUUUAAUGAAAGAACAUUAAUUUAAAACCUAAGCAACUAGAAGUGGUCCUUUCUGGACUGCCCUCAGACAUUAAAGCCAAAAGCAAAACAAUUCACAGCGACAGAUAGUAAUACGAAUAGCUAAUGUUUGCAUAGGGUUCUACAUUAAGGUGUGAUUUUAUCUUCCAUUACAGAUGAGAAGCUCGGGGAGGUUAGUAACUUGCUCAAGGCCAAGCGUCUAGGAAGUGGUGCAGGUUGAACUUGAGCUUGGCUCUUUGACUCCGGAGGCUGCACUCUUAACCACAGUGUUGGAGGAUGUUUGGGUCUUGGUUUCUAGGGUCUGCAGCUGAGGUCCCUGGAGAAGGGCUGACACUUCCCUGACAUACUCCAGUGAAUGCUGUUUGGUCAGCACUUCCACCUGCUCAACCUCUCUGGUGCUCAACAGAAGACGUGGGCAGAUCCUGGCUGCCUAGAUUUGAACCCCAAAGUACCACUGCAGGCUCUGCUAAUAGUGGGGAGCGGACAUCUGGCAGCACUUCUCCCAAGCAGUGAGAUAGCAGUGGUGGCAGGAGCAGCAGCAGCAGCUGGUGAGUACUGCCCCUGGUAACACCGUUUUCCCUUUCGCUUCCUGUAGGUAGAAAUUUGUAGGUAGUCUUACCUUCUUACAGCAAUUCUAGCACCUCUGUCGCCAAGGCUUUGCGCUGGAUUCCCUCUGUUUAACGUGUUUGCCAUCGUUUCCACUCUGCUGAUUGGGCGCUGCCUGAUACAGAUCUCAUUCUCUUGUUUGCUUGUUGUGCUCAGCUCUUUGAUUUCAAGACAGGUCCAUCUCGCACUGUAGACACCAGGUCCGUUGCUUCUCACUGCUGCAUAUACCAUGGAGCACGUGUUGGCCACAUUUACCUCCCCUCCCCCAGGGAUUGUUCAUUCAGAUUUCCGCCCAGUGAUAAACAGUCUUAAACAUGUUGUCUUUUUAGCCUUGUGUAAGAAUUCCCCAGGAAUAAAGUAUGUACCCAGGAGUGACAGUGCUUGGUCAUAGAGCAUAGCUAUGUCGUGUUCUAAGCACUGUAAGAUUGCACUCCAAAGUAGCCAUGUCCCCCACCCCCAUGAUGCUACAUUUAUUAUUCUGUAACUGGAUUUCCUUCACUUUAUAAAUGACAAAAAUUUGAACAGUUCCAACUGGGGAAAUUUAAGAAAAAAAUUGAGAUGCAACCUACAAUAAAAUAUGGAAACAACUGAAACUGUGUUUCGGAUAACAGCUUCUGGAGUCAGCCUACAAAGCCUGUCUACCAUUAGCUGUGUGACCUUGGGGUAAGAGCCUAACCUCCCUGUGCCUGCCUCAAUUUUCUCAUUGGCAAAAUGGAUAUAAUAAUAGUACCUGCCUUAUUUUAGGAUGUUAUUAAAUAAUGUACAUAAAGUGCUUAGAAUAUUCCCUGGCACACAGCAAGAACCCAAUGACUGUUAGCUAUUAUUGCUGAACAUUUAGGUAAUUUUCAGUUUUUUUGCUAUUUCUCAACAAUGCUCCAAUGACAUUCAGGAUUUUUUAAAUAGUGGUAAAAGACACAUAAUGUUACAUUUACCAUGGAAGUUCAGAAUUCUUAAGUGACCACCUGAGUACUCACACUGGAGCUCCGGCAGCAAACGCCAGCCUGGGUCUAACAACCUUCUGGCUUGGGACACUUGGAUCUCUUUACAAGUAACAGUAUCUCUAGAUUGCCUGUUCCAAUUGCUGCAUGGUCAAGGCCUGUGACUGGAUGUCCCCUUCCAGUGGUGUCUGGAUUUCUGCAUAGCCAUGCCCUGACCAGGGCCUGCUUGAGCUUCUGGGGUGGGUCCUAAUAUAUAGUCCUAAUCUCAGGUCAGGUCAGGGAAUGUCUGUGCACAGUUGCAUGACAUGAAAGGACAGCAUUGAUUCAAAUCCCUGCUCCAUGGCUUAGCAUCUGUGUGAUCUUCGGCAAGUGAUCCAACUCUCUGAGCUCUGUUGCCUCACCUGUAAAGUGGAAAUGAUACCUAUCUCACUGUGUUGCUGGGAAGAUUUUGAGAACUGCAAUGUGUCUUAGUCUGUUCAGGUUGCUCUAACAAAAUACCAUAGACAGCAGAUACUUAUUUCUCACAGUUCUGGAGGCUGUGAAAUCCAAGAUCAAGGCACUGCAGAUUCAGUGUCUGGUGAAGGCCUUGCUGGCUGGUUCAGAGACAAUGCCUUCUUGCCGUGUCCUCAUUUGGUAGAAGGAACAAGCUAGCUGUCUGGGGGCGUCUUUUAAAAGGGCAUGAACCCCAAUCAGCAGAGCUCCACUAGUAUGACCUAAUCACCUCCCAAAGGGAGUGCAGUUACUCAUAUGCCCAUUACCAAAGAACAGUCCUCUAUCAGGGAGAGUUGUCCUCUUCAGCCAAGCCCACAGCUUCAGGAGGGACGCAUGUGAAGUGGGGAGGGAGGAAGGGGACACUCACCUAGCCAGCCAGAUCAGCUGAAUCAACCCUGGUGAUCAAUGGCGCCACAGAUGUCGCAGCCAGAUCACCCUCACAUCCUACCAUGGUUUUGAUUUCUAUCAUUUCUUUUUGAUUCUUUCCUAGAUUUCUCAUCUCUCUGCUUAUAUUACCCAUCUGUUCUUGUAUGUUCUUUACUUUUUUUCCAUUAGAGCCUGUAAUGGCUAAUUUUAUAUGUCGAUUUUGAGGUUCCAAGAUGCUUGUUGAAAGUGAGGUAAAAUAUUUAAAGUGUUGAAAGAAACAAACAACCAUUAAAUUUUGUAGCUAAUGAAAUUAUUCUUCAAAAGUGAAGGAGAAAUAAGGUUUGUUCUCAUCAAAGGGUAUUUGUAGCCAUUAGACCCACCUCCAAAAAUGUUAAAAUAAAAUUGUCAGAGAAAAGGAAAAUGAUAUAGCUCAGAAAUUUGGAUCCAAAGAAAUAAAGAAUGUCAGAAAAGGGACAAGUAUAGAUUGGCUGACAGUAGACCAAAAAAAAAAAAAAGAAAUGUGGUAAAAUAAAAUCUUUUAAUUUUCUUAUUCUUAAUUACUUUGAUAGAUUAUUACUUUGUGCAAAGUAAUAUUAGCAACAAUGUGUUGGGUGGUUAAGUGAAAUGAAUGCUGUUAGUCUAGGAGGGAGGAAUUGGGAAUAGUCUUGUUAUACAUGGACUUACAUUACUUGUAAAUGUACAUGAAAAAUUCUAGGACAACUUUUUAAAAAAUGUAAAGAAAACAUAUAAUUGAUAUGCUAGAAGAAGAAAGAAAAUGGAAUCAUAUAAAAUGCUUAAUUAAAGCCAGACAAGGCAGAAAAAGAGAGAAUUUUUUUAAAAGAAAUAACAAUAAAAGAAAAAAAAAUAAAGGAAAUAAGAACAAGUGCAACAAAUAAAAAACAGCUACAAACGUGGUAGAAUAUCAGUGUAACUACAUCAACAAUCACUAAACCUGAAUAGUCUAAAUAUCAACUAAAAGAGACUGUCAGAGUGAUAAAACAAAGCAAGACCCCAACUAUAUGUUAAGAGCAAUCUUCUUUAAAUAAAAAGACCCAGAUAGAUUCAAAGUAAAGGAAUGGAGAAAGAUAAACUAUGCUGUCACUAAUCAAAAGAGGCCUAGAGCCACUGUGUUAAUUUCAGGGAAAGCAGAUUCAGAACAAGGAAAGCUGUCAGAGAUAAAGAAUGCAUAAUGAUAAAGGCAUCGAUUCUCUAAGAAAACACAGCAAUCUUUAACAUAUAGGCACUUCACAGCAGUGUCAAACUAUCUGAGGCAAAAACUGACAGAACUGCAAGAAGAAAUAGACAAUUCCGCUGAUAUAUUUGGAGAGGCCAAUACCCCUCUAUCAGUAAUUGACAGAUUCAGAAAAUGGAAAAUCAGGAAUUACAUCAUUUACCUGAACAGCCUCAUGAAUUGUCUGGAUUAAAUUGACAUUUAUAGAAUACUUCAUCUAACAACAGCAAGAAUACACAGUCUACACAAGCUCACAUGAAGCAUUCAGCAAGUGUUUGAUAUUGAAUGUUUGUGUCCCUCUAAAAUUCAUAGGUUGAAGCCCUAAUCCCUAUGUGACUGUAUUUGGAGAUGGGGCCUUGAAGGAAGCCAUUAAAGUUAAAUGAGGUCCUAUGGGUGGUGCCCCCAUCCAACAGGAUUGGUGUCUUUUUUUUCUUUUCUUUUGAGACCGGAUCUUACUAUGUUGCCCAGGCUGGAGUACAGUGGUGCAAACUCAGCUUACUGCAACCUCAGCCUCCAGAGCUCAAGUGAUUCUCCUAUCUCACCCUCCCGAGAAGCUGGUACUAUAGGUGCCCAGCUAAUUUUUGUGGUUUUUGUAGAGACAGGGUUUCCCCAUGUUGUGUAGGCUGAUCUUGAACUCCUGGGAUCAAAUGAUCCACCUGUAUCGGCCUCCCAAAGUGCUGGGAUUACAGGUAUGAGCCACGGCUCUCAGCUGCUUUAAUGUCCUUGUAAGAGGAGACACCAGAGCGCUUGCAUUCUCCGGUGUUCUCUCUGUCCCUUCCUCCCUCCCUCUCCACGUCCUGAGCUGGUGCACAAAGAGGAGGUCAUGUGACCACAAAGCAAGAAAGUGGCUGGCUGCAACCGGAAGGAAGAUCCCUCACCAGACACCAGCGUGGCUGGAACCUUGAUCUUGGACUCCAGAACUAUGAGAAAAUACAUUUUUGUUUUUUAAGCCACCUGGAGUAUGGUAUUUUGUUUUAGCAUCCUGAGCAGAUGAAGACAUCAAGAGAGAAGACAUCUGGGCAAUAAAACACAUUUUAACAAAUGUAAAAGAAUAGAAACCAUACAAAGUAGGACGUCAUAUCACAAUGGAAUUGAAACGGGCGCGUACCCGUGAGUGCCCUGGAGUUUAAGCUCCACUGGCUUCAGGCAAAUCUGCUUCUGCUGGUGGUUCCAUUUCAGGCAGGGCAGGUCAGCCUCUCUGUGCACAGCUGUCCAUUGUCCAUUGCAAACUUCUCUCUCUCUCUGUAGCUGGGCUCCACGACAUGCAAAGAAGGAAAUUCUAAAGUUACAAGGACUCAAGUCUCCAGGGCACAGCCAGCCAUUCUUGGUGACCAUUUGGAGACCUGGUGUAUUAGUCAGCGUUCUCUUAGAGGGACAGAACUAAUCAGAUAUAUGUAUGUUAUUAGUUAAGAUAUAUAUCUUAUAUAUGCAUAUAAGAUAUAUGUAUCUAUAAAGGGGAGUUUAUUAAGUAUUAACUUACACGACCACAAGGUCCCACAAUAGGCCAUCUGCAAGCUGAAGAGCAAGGAGAGCCAGCCCAAGUCCCAAAACUGAAGAACUUGGAGUCCAAUGUUUGAGGUUAGGAAGCAUCCAGCACGGGAGGAAGAUGUAGGCUGGGAGGCUAGGCCCGUCUCGACUUCCCACAUUUCUCUGCCUGCUUUAUAUUCGAUGGAAGCUGAUUAGGUUGUGCUCACCAGAUUAAGGGCGGGUCUGCCUUUCCCAGCCCACUGACUCAAAUGUUAAUCUCCUUUGGCAACACCAUCACACACACAUCCAGGAUCAAUACUUUACAUCCCUCAUUCCAAUCAGGUUGACACUUAGUAUUAAUCCUCACACCUGGCAACAGAGGAGAUUUCUGUAGCCAGGGAAGUGGGGAAGUGGAAUGUGUCUCACAGGAUGGUCUCGAAGAGACAUCAGAGUCUUCCCUCUGGCCUUGCAGGGGCCCAUGCAGGUAGCUGCAUGGAGCCCUUCUUUAGGUCAAGGUGAUGAUGUCACCUUCACUGACUUUUGGACUUCCUUGAGUCUGCAGGGGAGUGUCCAUCCAGCCUCACAGUGAGCAGCAGCAGCUGACCAGAUUGGAAGACAUUUCCAGUGUCUUCCCUGGCAGCUGUGAUGUGUUGUGAGGUGGCAGCUGAGGAUUGCCUGCACGUAAUCUUUGAGGUUCCAAGAUGCUUGUUGGAAGUAGACAAGCAGCAGAAAGGCCAGCAAGAUCCACGCUGGGUGGGGUGAAGUGGCGUGCGUGUCAGGGAAGUUGGCUUCGCAAACGAGGUUCAACAUCACUGAUUCCUGACCUGCAGCACCCAAAUGGCCACAAAGAGAUGUCCUGGGUUUUGAGGAGGCCACAGAGCCAACAGCUUUAGUGUCUUCAGAAGGAUGAAGAAAACUUGAACAACAUUCUUAAGUAGCUUUAUUGAGAUGUAAUUCACAUCCCAGAGAAUGCAUUCACUUAGAGGAUACAAUUCAAUGGAUUUUGUAUAUUCACAGAACUAUGCAUUCAUCAUUGCAAUUAAUUAUAGAACAUUUUCACUUACUGAAAAACCCCAACAUCCCUUAGCUAUUACUCUAAUUUCCCUAUCUCCCCCAGCCCUAGGUAACCAUUAAUCUUUUUUUUUGUAUCCAUAGAUUUGCCUAUCCUAGACAUUUCAUAUAAAUUGAAUCAUGCAGUAUAUGACCCUUCUUCACUUUGUGUAGCGCUUUCAAGGUAUAUCCAUGUGAUAUCAGUUCCUCAUUCCUUCUAUGGACAAAUAAUACUCCGUUGUAUGGAUCUACCACAUUUUAUUUAUCUGUUCAUCAGGUGGUGGACAUUUGGGUUGGUUUCUAUGUUUUUGGCUGUUAUGAAUGACGUCACCAUGAACAUUCAUGUACAAGUGUUUGUGUGGACAUGUGUUUCCAUUUCUCUUGGGCAUAUGCCUAGGAUUGGAAUUGAGUCGUAUGGUAACACUAUAACCAUUUGAGGAACUUCCAGACCGUUUUUUAAAGUGGCUACACCAUUGUACAUUCACACCACUAAUGUGCAAAGGUUCCAGUUUCUCCAUAUGUUUUUCAACUGUUUUUAUUAUCUGAUUUUUAAAUUAAAGCUAUCCUAGUGGAUGUGAAGCAAUAUCUCAUUAUGGUUUUGAUUUGUAUUUCUCUUAUGGCUAAUAAUAUUGAGGACCUCUUUAUCUGCUUAUUGGCCAUUUGUAUAUAUUUUGAAGGAAUUAUCUAUUCAGAUUCUUUGCUCAUUUUUGAGUUGGGCUAUUUGUCUUUUUAUUCUUGAGUUGUAAUUGUUCUUUAUAUAUUCUAGAUACAAGAACCUUAUUAUGUUUAUGAUUUGCAAAAUACUUUUUCCCAUUCUUUGGGUUGUCUUUUCACUGUUUUGAUAGUGUCUUUCGAAGCCUCAAAGUUUUAAAUUAUGAUGGUCAGUUUAUCUAUUUUUUCUUUUGUUGCUCAAGGUUUUGGUGUCAUAUCUAAGAAAACAGUGCCAAAUCCAGAGUCAUAAAGACUUAUCCUUAUGUUUUCUUCUGUGACUUUUAUAGUUUUAGCUCUUGUUUAUAGGUCAUUGAUGAUUUUGAGUUCGUUUUUGUAUACAGUGUGAGAUAUGGAUCCAACUUCAUUCUUUUGCAUGUGAAAAUUCAGUUGUCCCCACAUCAUUUGCUGAGGGGACUAUUCUUUUUCCAUUGAAAGAGGUUGGCACACUUGCUGAAAAUCAACUGGCCAGAUAUAUGGGUUAAUUUCUGGGCUCUCAAUUCCAUUCUGUUGAUGUAUAGAUCUGUUCUUAACCUCGUACCACAUGGUUUUGAUUACUGUCAUUUUGUAGCAGAUUUUAAAAUUGAGAAGCAUAAAUUAUCUAAGUUUUGGGUUUUCUUUCAUUUCCAUAUGCAUUUUAAAAGCAGCUUAUCCAUUGCUGUAGUUGAACUUUUGAUAGGAAUUGCAUUGAAUUUGUAAUCUGGGAGUAUUAUUAUCUUAAUAAUGUUAAGUUUUAAACAAGCCCAUUCAAAAGUGGGCAAAGGAUAUGAACAGACACUUUACAAAAGAAGACAUACAUGAGGCCAACAAACAUAUGAAAAAAUGCUCAUCAUUACUGGUCAUUAGAGAAAUGCAAAUCAAAACCACAUUGAGAUACCAUCUCACGCCAGUUAGAAUGGCAAUUGUUAAAAAAUCUGGAGACAACAGAUGCUGGAGAGGAUGUGGAGAAAUAGGAACACUUUUACACUGCUGGUGGGAGUGUGAAUUAGUUCAACCAUUGUGGAAGACAGUGUGGUGAUUCCUCAAGGACCUAGAAAUAGAAAUUCCAUUUGAUCCAGCAAUCCCAUUACUGGGUAUAUAUCCAAAGGACUAUAAUUCGUUCUACUAUAAGGACACAUGCACACGAAUGUUCAUUGCAGCACUGUUUACAAUAGCAAAGACCUGGAACCAACCCAAAUGCCCAUUGAUGAUAGACUGGACUGGGAAAAUGUGGCACAUAUACACCAUGGAAUAUCUUGCAGCAAUCAAAAAUGAUGAGUUCAUGUCCUUUGUAAGGACAUGUAUGAACCUGGAGAACAUCAUUCUCAGCAAACUGACACAAGAACAGAAAAUGAAAUACCGCAUGUUCUCACUCAUAGGUGGGUGUUGAACAAUAAGAACACAUGGACACAGGGAAGGGAGUACUACACACUGGGGUCUGUUGGGGGAAAAUAGGGGAGGGACAGUGGGGGGUGGGGAGUUGGGGAGAGAUAGCAUGGGGAGAAAAGCCAGAUAUAGGUGAAGGGGAGGAAGGCAGAAAAUCACACUGCCACGUGUGUACCUAUGCAACUAUCUUGCAUGUUCUUCACAUGUACCCCAAAACCUAAAAUGCAAUAAAAAAAUAAUAAUGUUAAGUUUUUUGGUCUAUGAACAUGGGAUGUCUUUCCAUUCAUUUAGAUUCUUUAGUUUUCAACAGUAUUUUGUAGCUUUCAGAGCAUAAGUUUUGUACUUCUUUUGUCAAAUAUAUUCAUAAGUAUCUGAUGUAAAUGGAUUUUGUUUUUAAAGACAAAGUCUUGCUCUGUUGCCCAGGCUGGAGUGCAGUGGUGUGAUCUUAGCUCACUGCAACCUCCCACUCCUGGGUUCAAGCAAUUCCCCUGCCUCAGCCUUCUGAGUAGUUGGGAUUGCAGGUGCCCACUACCAUGCCUGGCAAAUUUUUUGUAUUUUUAGUAGAGAAGGGGUUUCACCACGUUGACCUGGCUGGUCUCAAACUCCUGACCUCAAGUGAUCCACCCACCUCAGCCUCCCAAAGUGCUGAGAUUACAGGCGUGAGCCACUGUGCCCAGACUGCAAUUGUUUUCUUUUUUUUUUAUUGCAUUUUAGGUUUUGGGGUACAUGUGCAGAGCAUGCAAUACAGUUGCAUAGGUACACACAGGGCAGUGUGUUUUGUUUGCUUUCUCCCCUUCACCCACAUUUGGUAUUUCUCCCCUGGCAAUCCCUCCCCAUCUCCCCCUCCCACUGGCCCUCCCCUUUUCCCCCUAUAGACCCCAGUGUUUAGUACUCCCCUCUCUGUGUCCAUGCGUUCUCAUUUUUCAUCACCCGCCUAUGAGUGAGAAUAUGCGGUGUUUCAUUUUCUGUUCUUGUGUCAGUUUGCUGAGAAUGAUGUUCUCCAGAUUCAUCCAUGUCCCUAUAAACGACACUAACUCAUCAUUUCUGAUUGCUGCAUAAUAUUCCAUGGUGUAUAUGUGCCACAUUUUCCCAAUCCAGUCUAUCAUUGAUGGGCAUUUGGGUUGAUUCCAGGUCUUUGCUAUUGUAAACAGUGCUGCAAUCAACAUUCGUGUGCAUGUGUCCUUGUAGUAGAACGAUUUAUAGUCCUUUGGAUAUAUACCCAGCAAUGGGAUUGCUGGGUCAAAUGGGAUUUCUAUUUCUAAGGCCUUGAGGAAUCGCCACACCGUCUUCCACAAUGGUUGGACUAAUUUACACUCCCACCAACAGUGUAAAAGUGUUCCUUUUUCUCCACAUCCUCUCCAGCAUCUGUUGUCUCCAGAUUUUUUAAUGAUCGCCAUUCUAACUGGAGUGAGAUGGUAUCUCAAUGUGGUUUUGAUUUGCAUCUCUCUGAUGACCAGUGACGAUGAGCAUUUUUUCAUAUGAUUGUUGGCCUCAUAUAUGUCUUCUUUCGUAAAGUGUCUGUUCAUAUCCUUUGACCACUUUUGAAUGGGCUUGUUUAUUUUUUUCCUGUAAAUCUGUUUGAGUUCUUUGUAUAUUCUGGAUAUCAGCCCUUUGUCAGAUGGGUAAACUGCAAAAAUUUUUUCCCAUUCUGUUGGUUGCCGAUUCACACUAGAGACUGUUUCUUUUGCUGUGCAGAAGCUGUGGAGUUUCAUUAGGUCCCAUUUGUCUAUUUUGGCUUUUGUUGCCAAUGCUUUUGGUGUUUUGUUCAUGAAGUCCUUGCCUACUCCUAUGUCCUGGAUGGUUUUGCCUAGAUUUCUUUCUAGGGUUUUUAUGGUGCCGGGUCUUAUGUUUAAGUCUUUAAUCCAUCUGGAGUUAAUUUUGGUGUAAGGUGUCAGGAAGGGGUCCAGUUUCUGCUUUCUACACAUGGCUAGCCAGUUUUCCCAACACCAUUUGUUGAACAGGGAGUCCUUUCCCCAUUGCUUGUUUUUGUCAGGUUUAUCAAAGAUUGUAUGGUUGUAGCUACGUUGUGUUGCCUCUGAUGCCUCUGUUCUGUUCCAUUGAUCUAUAUCUCUGUUUUGGUACCAGUACCAUGCUGUUUUGAUUACUGUAGCCUUAUAGUAUAGUUUGAAAUCUGGUAGUGUGAUGCCCCCCGCUGUGUUCUUUUUGCUUAGAAUUGACUUGGCUAUGCGGGCUCUCUUUUGGUUCCAUAUGAAGUUCAAGGUGGUUUUUUCCAGUUCUGUGAAGAAAGUCAAUGGUAGCUUGAUGGGGAUAGUGUUGAUUCUGUAAAUUACUUUGGGCAGUAUAGCCAUUUUCAUGAUAUUAAUUCUUCCUAACCAUGAACAUGGAAUGUUUCUCCAUCUGUUUGUGUCCUCUCUGAUUUCGUUGAGCAGUGGUUUGUAGUUUUCCCUGAAGAGGUCCCUUACGUUCCUUGUGAGUUGUAUUCCAAGGUAUUUUAUUCUUUUUGUAGCAAUUGUGAAUGGCAGUUCAUUCUUGAUUUGGCUCUCUUUAAGUCUGUUAUUGGUGUAGAGGAAGGCUUGUGAUUUUUGCACAUUGAUUUUAUAUCCUGAGACUUUGCUGAAGUUGCUUAUCAGUUUCAGGAGUUUUUGGGCUGAGGCGAUGGGGUCUUCUAGGUAUAUUAUCAUGUCAUCUGCAAAUAGAGACAAUUUGGCUUCCACCUUUCCUAUUUGAAUACCCUUUAUUUCUUUUUCUUGCCUGAUUGCUCUGGCUAGAACUUCCAGUACUAUAUUGAAUAGGAGUGGUGACAGAGGGCAUCCUUGUAUAGUGCCAGAUUUCAAAGGGAAUGCUUCCAGUUUUUGCCCAUUCAGUAUGAUAUUGGCUGUUGGUUUGUCAUAAAUAGCUUUUAUUACUUUGAGAUACGUUCCAUUGAUACCGAGUUUAUUGAGGGUUUUUAGCAUAAAGGGCUGUUGAAUUUUGUCAAAUGCCUUCUCUGCAUCAAUUGAGAUAAUCAUGUGGUUUUUGUUUUUGGUUCUGUUUAUGUGGUGAAUUACGUUGAUAGACUUGCGUAUGUUGAACCAGCCUUGCAUCCCCGGGAUGAAUCCUACUUGAUCAUGAUGAAUAAGUUUUUUGAUUUGCUGUUGCAAUCGGCUUGCCAAUAUUUUAUUGAAGAUUUUUGCAUCUAUGUUCAUCAUGGAUAUUGGCCUGAAGUUUUCUUUUCUUGUUGGGUCUCUGCCGGGUUUUGGUAUCAGGAUGAUAUUGGUCUCGUAGAAUGAUUUGGGUAGGAUUCCUUCUUUUUGGAUUAUUUGGAAUAGUUUCAGAAGAAAUGGUACCAGCUCCUCUUUGUGUGUCUGGUAGAAUUCGGCUGUGAACCCGUCUGGACCUGGGCUUUUUUUGUGUGGUAGGCUCUUAAUUGCUGCCUCGACUUCUGCCCUUGUUAUUGGUCUAUUCAUAGUUUCAGCUUCCUCCUGGUUUAGGCUUGGGAGGACACAGGAGUCCAGGAAUUUAUCCAUUUCUUCCAGGUUUACUAGUUUAUGUGCAUAGAGUUGUUUGUAAUAUUCUCUGAUGAUGGUUUGAAUUUCUGUGGAAUCUGUGGUGAUUUCCCCUUUAUCAUUUUUUAUUGCAUCUAUUUGGUUGUUCUCUCUUUUCUUUUUAAUCAGUCUGGCUAGUGGUCUGUCUAUUUUGUUGAUCUUUUCAAAAAACCAGCUCUUGGAUUUAUUGAUUUUUUUGGAGGGUUUUUCGUGUCUCAAUCUCCUUCAGUUCAGCUCUGAUCUUAGUUAUUUCUUGUCUUCUGCUGGGUUUUGAGAUUUUUUGAUCUUGCUCCUCUAGCUCUUUCAAUUUUGACGAUAGGGUGUCAAUUUUGGAUCUCUCCAUUCUUCUCAUAUGGGCACUUAUUGCUAUAUACUUUCCUCUAGAGACUGCUUUAAAUGUGUCCCAGAGAUUCUGGCAUGUUGUGUCUUCGUUCUCAUUGGUUUCGAAGAACUUCUUUAUUUCUGCCUUCAUUUCGUUGUUUAUCCAGUCAACAUUCAGGAGCCAGUUGUUCAGUUUCCAUGAAGCUGUGUGGUUCUGGGUUGGUUUCUGAAUUCUGAGUUCUAACUUGAUUGCACUAUGGUCUGAGAGGCUGUUUGUUAUGAUUUCAGUUGUUUUGCAUUUGCUGAGCAGUGCUUUACUUCCAAUUAUGUGGUCAAGUUUAGAGUAGGUAUGAGGUGGUGCUGAGAAGAAUGUAUAUUCUGUGGAUUUGGGGUUCUGUAAAUGUCUAUCAGGUUUGCUUGCUCCAGGUCUGAGUUCAAGCCCUGGAUAUCCUUGUUGAUUUUCUGUCUGGUUGAUCUGUCUAAUAUUGACAGUGGAGUGUUAAAGUCUCCCACUAUUAUUGUGUGGGAGUCUAAGUCUCUUUGUAAGUCGUUAAGAACUUGCCUUAUGUAUCUGGGUGCUCCUGCAUUGGGUCCAUAUAUGUUUAGGAUCAUUAGCUCUUCUUGUAUCGAUCCUUUUACCAUUUUGUAAUGGCCUUCUUUGUCUCUUUUGAUCUUUGUUGCUUUAAAGUCUAUUUUAUCAGAGAUGAGGAUUGCAACUCCUGCUUUCUUUUGCUCUCCAUUUGCUUGGUAAAUCUUCCUCCAUCCCUUUAUUUUGAGCCUUUGUGUAUCCUUGCAUGUGAGAUGGGUUUCCUGGAUACAGCACACUGCUGGGUUUUGGCUUUUUAUCCAAUUUGCCAGUCUGUGUCUUUUGAUUGGUGCAUUUAGUCCAUUUACAUUUAGGGUUAAUAUUGUUAUGUGUGAGUUUGACACUGCCAUUUUGAUGCUAGCUGGCUGUUUUGCCCGUUAGUUGUUGUAGAUUCUUCAUUAUGUUGAUGCUCUUUAGCAUUUAGUGUGAUUUUGGAAUGGCUGGUACUGGUUGUUCCUUUCUAUGUGUAGUGCCUCUUUCAGGAGCUCUUGUAAAGCAGGGCUGGUGGUGACAAAAUCUCUGAGUGCUUGCUUGUUUGCAAAGGAUUUUAUUUUUCCUUCACUUCUGAAGCUCAGUUUGGCUGGAUAUGAAAUUCUGGGUUGAAAGUUCUUUUCUUUAAGGAUGUUGAAUAUUGGCCCCCACUCUCUUCUGGCUUGUAGAGUUUCUGCCGAGAGAUCUGCUGUGAGUCUGAUGGGCUUCCCUUUGUGGGUGAACCGACCUUUCUCUCUGGCUGCCCUUAGUAUUUUCUCCUUUAUUUCAACCUUGUUGAAUCUGACGAUUAUGUGCCUUGGGGUUGCUCUUCUUGCGGAAUAUCUUUGUGGUGUUCUCUGUAUUUCCUGCAUUUGAGUGUUGGCCUGUCUUGCUAGGUGGGGGAAAUUUUCCUGGAUAAUGUCCUGCAGAGUAUUUUCCAGCUUGGAUUCAUUCUCUUCAUCACAUUCUGGUACGCCUAUCAAACGUAGGUUAGGUCUCUUCACAUAGUCCCACAUUUCUUGGAGACUUUGUUCAUUCCUUUUUGUGCUUUUUUCUCUGAUCUUGGUUUCUCAUUUUAUUUCAUUGAGUUGAUCCUCGACUUCUGAUAUUCUUUCUUCUGCUUGGUCAAUUCGGCUAUUGAAACUUGUGCAUGUUUCGUGAAGUUCUCGUAUUGUGUUUUUCAGCUCCUUUAAUUCAUUCAUAUUCCUCUCUAAGGUAUCCAUUCUUGUUAUCAUUUCCUCAAAUCUUUUUUCAAGGUUCUUAGUUUCUUUACGUUGAUUUAAAACAUGUUCUUUUAGCUCACAAAAGUUUCUCAUUAUCCACCUUCUGAAGUCUAAUUCUGUCAUUUCGUCACAGUCAUUCUCCGUCCAGCUUUGUUCCCUUGCUGGUGAGGAGUUUUGGUCCUUUCUAGGUGGCGAGGUGUUCUGGUUUCAGGUGUUUUCCUCCUUUUUGCGCUGGUUUCUUCCCAUCUUUGUGGAUUUAUCCACCUGUCGUCUGUGUAGUUACUGACUUUUUGAUUGGAUCUCUGAGUGGACACCCAGAUUGUUGAUGAUGGAGUAUUUCUGUUACUUGGUUUUCCUUCUACCAGUCUAGCCCCUUCGCUGUACAACCGCUGAGGUCCACACCAGGCCCUGCUUGUCUGGGGUGCACCUGUAGCGGCUGCGGAACAGCGAGGGAUGCUACCAGUUUCUUUUUCUGCUAUCUUUGUCCCAGGAUGAUGUCUGCCGAAUGUCAGUCUUAUGGAUAUAGAGGGGUCAGGGAGUUGCUUGAGGAGACAGUCUGUAGGAGCUCAAGUGCUGAGCUGUGAGCUCUGUUGUUCAUUCAGGGCUGCUAGGCUGCUAUGUUUAGUUCUGUUGCAACCUAACUCAUAAGAAAACCCCUUUUUUUUCCUCAGAUGCUCUGUCUGGGGGGGGGGUUGGGGCUUUCCUUGUGAGUGUCCGCCUCACUGUCCUGCCCAGCUAGGAGGCAGUCUAGUCACUUUUUGCCUGCCGAGGCUCCGCCCUGCUGGUGUGAGGUUCGCCCUUUUCCUGCAGGCUCCGCCCUUCUGCUGUGGUCUCCGCCCUGUUGCCUCGGGCUACGCCCUGCGGCGGAGUCUCUCUGUUGUACCGGGUUGCCUCGCAGCGGCAGGCUGCGUCAGCAAUGGGCGUGUACCUCAGUAGGGGCUGAUUGCCUCGGUAAUGGCUGACGCCCCUCCCCCGCGGAGCUGCACUUUAAAAAAAAAACCUAUUCACCGGGAGCGUUUGGAAUCGCCGUUUUGUUUGUCGCACUGCGCUCCCCCAAACGCUGAGUCCCUGGGAUUUCCUGGGCUGGGUCACAGUUCAAGACCCGUUCAGUCUCAAGUUCAGCCCUCUCGGGUCUUAGUUUGCCGGUUCAACAGGGCACCCGUAACAGUGCGCUUUUGUAUGGAGCGCUGUGGAGUGCCUCUGUGCUCCGGCGCGGGCCAGAGCCGCACCGGUUACCGGCUACGCCAGCGGAGACCUCUGCCUGGCGUCCCGCGUCUCUUUUAUACCUGGGAAUUUCCCCGUUCUGUGGGCAACUAAGAUCCGUCUGGGAAUGCUUCCCCGACUCACCCUCUCCGUGCGCCCAGCGAGAGCUUCAAUCCUGGGUUGUUCUCUGCAAUUGUUUUCUUAACUUCAUUUUCUGUUUGCUCAUAGCUACAGUAUAAAAAUACAACUGAUUUUUGUACACUGAUCACAUAUCCUUGUAAACUUGCUGAACUCAUUUAUUAGUUUAAUCAUUUUUAGUGAAUUCCCUAGGAUUUUCUUGAACCCCCAGCCUCAGGUGAUCCACCUACCUUGGCCUCCAAAGUGCUUGGAUUACAGGCAUGAGCCACCACGCCCAGCCGAAUUCCUUAGGAUUUUCAAUGUACAAGAUCAUGUUAUCAGCAAAUGAAGAUAGUUGUACUUCUUCCUUUCCAAUAUGGAUUGCUUUUGCUUCAUUUCCUUGCCUCGUUGCCUGGCUGGCUUCUGUAGUAUAAUGUUGAACAGAAGUUGAGUGAACAGACAUCCUUGUCUUGUUCCUGAUCUUCUGGGGAAGGCAUUUUGUGUUUCAGCAUUGAGAGAAAACCCCUUAGCCAUGGCCUUUUCUAGACGUCCUUUAUCAGGUUGAGGAGACUGAGUUCCUUAGAGGAGAAGCUGUGUCAGCUCUGAGGUAAGGCACAGCAUCAUCAGCUUUCGGAGUCUGAAGUCCUGGCUGGCUGGGCAGUGAUGUCCUGAAGGAUGUGGACAUGCUGGACUGGAGCUCUGGAGAUUUGAGGGGAGGCCCCACUGCAGACCUGGGUAUGGGAAUAAAAAGGAUUUACACACCAGUCAAACAAAGGCACAUUGCCUAAAUGAAACGUUAACUUUAAUGCGUCCUAAGUUUCCAUACCUCCAAGUUUUAUGUAGUCUGCGUUUUUUGUUUUUUUGUUUGUUUUCUUGUUUUUUGAGACGGAGUCUCGCUCUUGUUAUCCAGGCUGGAGGGCAAUGGUGCGAUCUCGGCUCACUGCAACCUCUGCCUCCUGGGUUCAGGCAAUUCUCCCACCUCAGCCUCCUGAGUAGCUGGGAUUACAGGCACGUGCCACCAUGCCCAGCUAAUUUUUUGUAUUUUCAGUAGAGACAGGGUUUCACCUUGUUGACCAGGAUGGUCUCAAUCUCUUGACCUCGUGAUCCACCUGCCUCGGCCUCUCAAAGUGCUGGGAUUACAGGCUUGAGCCACUGCGCCCAGCCCGCGUUUUUUUUUUUUUUUAUUUUUAUUUAUUUUUUUUUUAUUGCCAAAUCAGGUAAAUUUAAAUUCGUUCUGUCUUAUUUUAGACAGGGUCUUGUUCCGUCGCCAAGGCUGAAGUGCAAUGAUACAAUCUCAGCUCACUGCAACCUCUGCCCCCUGGGUUCAAGGGAUUCUCCUGCCUCAGCCUCCCAAGUAGCUGGAAUUACAGGCAUCUGCCACCACGCCUGGCUAAUUUUUGUAUUUUUAGUAUAGAUGGGGAUUCAUUAUGUUGGUCAGGCUGGUCUUGAACUCCUGACCUCAGGUGAUCUGCCCGCCUCGGCCUUCCAAAGCACUAGAAUUACAGGCGUGAGCCACCGUGGCUGGCCUUUCAUUCUGUCCUUAUAUAACACAAUACACCUACCUCCUAUGCAACAGAAGCAUCCAACCUGCUUAUCAAAUAUGGCUAUCUACUCAAAACUCUAAAGAAUAUAAGAAAAAGAAAGGUAACUAGCUCCAAUAACAAAAUAUAGAUAUUAGUUACAAUUUUUUUGGCUUAGAAAAUCCCUUUGGAAAAACAAAGAAAAAACUCAUUGGGAUAUUUCCUCUUUCUGUAUAGAAUGAUAAGCCCUAAGAAAUGUAGGUGUUUUAUUUUGGCCUUAAAGCGAUAUCACUGACAAAUGAAAACCUACUGCUGAUGUCCUUUAUCAGAUUGAGGAGCCUGAGUUCUUCAGAAGAGGAGAGGUGUCCGCUCUGAGGUGAUGCACAGCAUUGUCAGCUUUCAGAGUCUGAGGUCCUGGCUGGCUGGGAGGAGGUGAUGUCCUAAAGGAUGUCCAUGAUGGGCUGGGGCUCUGGGGACUUGAGGGGAGGUCACGCUGCAGUCCUGGGUAUGGGAAUAAAAAGGCAAUAUCAAAGCCAGUAAUUGGACCAUGGGAGUGAACCAUCUCAGGAAGAGAAGAAUGGGUGGAGAAAAGAGCAUCAGGGCCAGAGACGUGGGAGAGGGGAGCCCGAGAACUGGUCAGAAGGAGGAGAAAAUCCAGCUCGUGCGGGGAGGAGAGAAGUGCCCCAGCAGCUGAAGACGGCGCCAGAGCCCACUAGCUGGGGGCACCCUACAGGAGAAUGGGCCAGACCCGCUAGGGGCCGCCGAGAGCUGUGCAUGCGGCCUCACGACACCAGGUGGCGCAGUGGACCAUUCUAACAGCCGCUCCUCUUAGCCCCGGUGGAUUCUUUUCAUUAAAGACGAAUGAGGUCGGGCGCUGUGGCUCAAGCCUGUAAUCCCAGCACUUUGGAAGGCCGAGGCGGGUGGAUCACGAGCUCAAGAAAUCGACACCAUCCUGGUCAACCUGGUGAAACCCCGUCUCUACUAAAAACGCAAAAAAUUAGCUGGGCAUGGUGGCGCGUGCCUGUAAUCCCAGCUGCUCAGGAGGCCGAGGCAGGAGAAUUGUCUGAACCCAGGAGGCGGAGGUUGCGGUGAGCCGAGAUCGCGCCAUUGCACUCCAGCCUGGGUAACAAGAGCGAAACUCCAUCUCAAAAAAAAAGACGAAUGAAUGAGCUGGGGCCUCGCCAAGCUCCUGUUUAACAGAUGGAGCCUCUAAAGGGGGCUAUGAGUUUCCUGAAAGCAUUAUGCGGAUAUUGCGGCAAAGGUGGGGCCACUUCUCACCUCCUGGUUCCUAUCCGAGACUCUCUCUCCAGUCAUCCCCCGACCUACCCCAAAGGGAUCUGGAAAAGUGGCUGGCGGAAUACCCAGUCAGGAGGCAGCCUGGAGGGACGUGAGGUCCACCAAGCCCACCCAGGUCCCUAGCACCAACCGCUUUUCAGUGUUGCCCGCGGUGAGAUCAUCUUCCUUGGCUUUCCCAUGGAUUCUCUGCCUCCGGUUCCCCACUUCCCCAUUCUCCUUCCACCCACAGACACAUGAUUUUCAGUUUAAGCUGAAUUGAGUCACUCCUGCCUGCCACGCCUACCCGGUAACAUCCCCUAGGCACUCAAAAGUGUUCUUUCCCCCUCAUUCAUCUCCCUCAUCGCAGCCACAUCCUGAACCUACACUCACUUUGAGAUUUGGUUGUUAAAGCAUGGCCUGCUUUAACAAUUCUUCAUGAAAGCUGCUGGUUUUGUCUGUAAUACUCCUCCUGCCCUCUUCCCUGCCCCCUAAUUAGUGUUUGGUCUCAGUUAGGACUUCCCUGACUUCCCCGGUGGCUUCUGUGGUGCAUCUCCCCUUUGCUUUGACCUCCCCGCCCUCUUUGUCAUGUUGCUUGUUUAGCAUCUUUUCCCUCUAGACUGAGGCUCCAGAGCAGUAUGCAGGGUCCAUGUUAGGUGCAGCCUGUCAUCAGCGUCCAGCCAUGGCUCUCUGCAGGUCAUGGGAACUAAAGGUGGCCAUGCUGGCAGGGCAAGAUAGGAGCUGGUGCCAGGAGUUACAGGGCAGUAUCUCGAGGACAGCCCUGCUGGGUUCUAAGAUACAGCCAAGAGUGUCUGGAAUGAUGGGCGGAGCAUCAACUGGUUUCAGAGUUUGAACAAAUGGUGUUCAGAACAGCACGGUCUGCCUGAAUGAUCAGCCAGAGUGCCCGGACUGAGGGUCCUACAGAAGGACACCCACUGUCACUCUCACUUCCAUAUUCCAGAACCAGGGAUAUUUUAGUGUGUGGGAAAGUAAAGCAAUCGUUGAGUUUGAUUUCCAUCCCAAGUAUUGGAAAAUGUGGGGGUGCAUCUGCAGUAGAUAAGUCUCAGCAGGGCCUUUGUUCUGACCCAGUCAGAGCUCAACCAGAAUUGGGGCCAAUAGAUCCUUGAGCCAGACAAUGAAAACAUGGAGGGACCCAUAUAGCUGAGGGGUGACAAGCAUCCAGCCACGCCAUUACUGUGGAUACGACGCUUGUUGGCCCAUAGGACAAACUCUUCAAAACAUCUCCCUCUCCCUCCCCGCUUGCAGCAGGUUGCAUCAGUGGGUGGUAAUAGAGGCCCUGAAUCUUCCCAGUGCAUGAGCAGGAAAGCUGAGGGGCUCCAUGAAUGCAAGUUUGCUACACAAAAGAAGUCACCUGUCUUUUUAUGGACAGAGACUUCUGGAAGCUUCAAGAAAUACAAAAUGAUCUAAAUGAGCUUUACUCCUUUCUAUUUGAUAUUUCAACAUUACAAAUAUUUAAAAUCUUUUUUCCAGGAGUAUUCAAAAUUGGACAAUAAAAAUUAGGCAGUCCAGGGGCCAGCCAUGGUGGCUCAUGCCUGUAAUCCCAGCACUUUGGGAGGCCAAAGUGUGUGGAUCACUUGAGGUCAGGAGUUCAAGACCAGCCUGGCCAACAUGGUGAAACCCCGUCCCUACUAAAAAAAUAAAAAAUUAGCUGGGCGUGGUGGUGGACACUUGUAAUCCCAGCUACUCAGAAGGCUGAGGCAGGAGAAUCGCUUGAACCUGGGAGGCAGAGGUUGCAGUGAGCUGAGAUCGUCCCAUUGCACUGCAGCCUGGGCAACAGAGCAAGGCUUCGUCUCACACAAAAAAAAAAAAAAAAAAGAAAAAGAGAAAAUUAGGCAGUCCUUUGUUUCUGUGGGAAGCUUUGACUCUGACAAACAGGAACAAGACUGUGGUCUUCAAAUCUGGCUCUUUGCCCUCAGCCAGAAUCUCCUCAAAAUCGUCAGCCCAAACUUACCCACUUCCUGAAGACAGAGGAUUCUUUCUAGUUGAGGGGAAUGUAAAGCAAUGUGCAGUGCAGGAAGUCACUGGUUCCUGCAUGGGAGAGGAGCGGGCAGAGAGAUGGGGGAGGGAUAGAAAAUCAGGACUGGCUCUCUAUGGAGGGGGACUGAGGAAAUUCUGGAGACACUUUGAAGUAGCUUCAGGCUGAGAUAGAUGUCAUCAGGAAAGCCCCUUCUAAAAGUGACUCCAAACGUUUUGGGAUAAAGGUGUUAAAAACAUAAACUAGGUCGCCAGGAAUAAGUAUAUAAAGUAGUGAGUGUGGGGGUCCAAAGGCAAUAUCAGGACAUUUGCCGUGCUCACUGGGCAGUGUAGGAACCGAGGUUGCACCUCCCGUGUGUGUGAACCCGAGAGGAGCUGCUCAUCUGUGAAGCAGGAGGUUGAAUGAGGUAGUUUCUCCAUGCCUCGUCUGUCCUCUGUGGGACUAAUAGUGGUCAUGCCGGGAGAGCUGGAGAGUUUAGCAAGACAGGAGGCCUGUCCCUUCUGACAUCACCUUAGCUCCCCACCUGGGAUCACAGUGCAUACUGUGUUCUUCAAUUUAGGCCAAGUUUGCAGACGAAAGUGAUAGAACCAUCGGCAAAAGAUGGAGAAGGGAAGGCCAUUGAUGUGAUAUUCUACUCAACCUUUUGUUCAAGGACAAGACGCUUGGUUUAGGCUGGAAUCUAUAGUUUGAUUAGCUUGGAAUCGGUGUGUGCUAUGGUCUGAAUGUUUGUGACCCCUAAAAGGUAUAUAUUGAAAUCUAAUCCCCAAUAUGAUGGCAUUUUAAGGUGGUGGCUUUGGGAAGUGAUUAAGUCAUAAAGGUCGAACCUUCAUGAGUGAGAUUAACACCGUCACAAAAGAGGCCCCAGAGAGCUCCAAUGCCCCUCUCACCAUGGGAGGACGCAGCAGAAAGACGGCCAUCUAUGAACCAGGAAGUGGUACCUCACCAGACACUGCACCUUGAUCUUGAACUUCCCAGACUCCAGAACAGGGAGAAAUACAUUUCUGUUGUGUAUACACCACCCACUCUAUGGUAUUUUGUUGUACCAACUCGAACACUUGUAGACAGUGUGUGUGUGUGAAAGUUUUGAAGGUCACCCCCUUUUUCAUUCUAUCGCAAUGGAAGCUUAUGCAGCUCCAGAACAAAAUCCCACAGUCAAAAGGUCUUUCGUCCAUCACUAUUUUAAAGACAGGGUUAUACAAUUCAAAUGAUCAGAUCUGUAAUAAUUAUCAUCUUUUAAAAAUAAUCUUUAUUGAGUAUAUAAUGGACGGCCAAAUUUUUUUAAAAAACAAAUAUGCAGCACAAUAGAGGUAUAUUUUCUUGGUUUCCAAAUUCCAUGUAAUAAACUCGUGACAACUGCCUUGAACACAAAAUACAGAGCCUCUGACUCAGAGACUUCCCCAUUAGAGUCUGAAACUCCAGCCCACACUUUGCUAUACCUUGGCAAGUCUCUGAAAACGUAGGGUACACACCUAUUUUGUAGAUUUCAGCAGUAAGCUGUUUUUCCAAAAUGUACAGAUAUGUACACAGACAUGAAAUGGGCUCGUCUGGCUUUUGAAACAUUUUAAAAUACCAUUUAAAUCACUAGGACAAUUACAUAUAUAAAAAAGCAACUGUUCACUUAUUGCUUCAGUUACCUAUAUUCUAUUCCUCUUAGCAUAAGACUGCCUUACCCCAGAUUCUAGGCCCAAGAGCUCUUCAUUGUAUUCAAUCUUAGUCCAUCCACUGCUCAUCUUUAAGUUCCACCAAAGAUACGAGAUCAAAUAAAAUCAAAACGUAUUUAUUUAAUGCCUACAACAGGCAACACCUUGAGAUGGAAUAAUGAAAUUCUUUCACUGAAGAGCUUAUAACUUGGUUACAGAUGUACACUUGAAUUACUCAUUGUUUUAGGGCUGAUGGCCAAGAUUCUUCCCACUUCAAAUGAGCCAGCCUGAUGGGACAUCUUGAUACAUUAUGAGUAACAGUCGAUGCAAAACUACUUUUUUAUUUAACUACUUACUGCUCUUGUUUUUUUUUUUUUUUUUUCUUGUGAGACAGAGUCUCACUGUUGCCCAGGCUGGAGCGCAGUGGCAGGAUCUCCCCUCACUGCAACAUCUGCCUCCUGGGUUCAAGCAAUUCUCAUGCCUUAGUCUCCUGAGUAGUGGGGAUUACAGGCACACACCACCAUACCCGGCUAAUGCCCAGACAAAUUUUUUUUUUUUUUUUUGAGAAGGAGUCUUGCUCUAUCACCCCCAGGCUGGAGUGCAGGGGCGUGAUCUCAGCUCACUGCAACCUCUGCCUCCCAAAUUCAAGUGAUUCUCCUGCCUCAGACUCCCAAGUAGCUGGGACUACAGGCACCCACUACCACGCCCGGCUAAUUUUUAUAUUUUUAGUAGAGACAGGGUUUCCCCAUGUUGGCCAGUCUGAUCUCGAACUCCUGACCUCAUGAUCCGCCCACCUUGGCCUACCAAAGUUGGCCUCUGGGAUUACAGGCAUGAGCCACCGUGCCUGGCCUAAUUUUCAUAUUUUUAGUAGAGACAGGGCUUUACCAUGUUGGCCAGUCUGGUCUUGAAGUCCUGGCCUCAAGCAAUCCGCCUGCUUCUGUCUCCCAAAGUGCUGGGAUUACAGGUGUGAGCCACAGCACAUGGCUUUGACUACUGUACUUAAUCAGCCUUAACUGACCCUCAGUGCAUAUGCCCUUGUCUUAGUCAUCGGUUGAGGUCAUACCGAUAAUUUAAGGUAGGAUUUCAUACGAGGAACCUAACAUUUUAAAUGAACUCAUUGUCAUACAUGUCAGUCUUUUACUGGAACUGAUUUUCUUCAAUAAGUCAAACAUAAGCCACAUAACAGAGGAUGGAAUGAAAACAUACUGCUUCUCUAGAACUUCCAAAUUCUUAGUGCACAGCUACGAUGAGGUAUCAAUGGAAUCGUUUUUUGUUUUCUGAAGGUACAUUUUGUAACAUUUCCAGCUACACAAAACUAUAAUGGCAGCAUCUGCCCAGUCUUGGAUGGCAGCCUAACACCAGUGCAAAGCUUCAGAUCUCACAUCUUCCAGACAGACAAAAAUCUAUUCUCUCUCUUCUUAUAUGUUUUAUUGAACAGCUCUCUGGAAAAAUCCAGUUUUUAAAAAAUUGCAACCCAAAGUAAAUUUCAGAUUUGUCGCACCAUAUUAUGCUAAUAUGUGAUGCUUUUCUUCUCUGCUAAAUGGGUUGAAAUUUAACAUUGGAAAUUAGUCCAAUCUAGUCAUUCGCAUAAUGAAAGUUAAACUAUAUUCAUCAGGCUGGGUGAAGUGGCUCACACCUGUAAUCCCAGCACUUUGGGAGGCUGAGGCUGGUGUAUCACUUGAGGUCAGGAGUUUGAGACCAGUCUGGCCAACACAGGGAAACCCUGUCUCUACUAAAAAUACAAAAAAUUAGCUGGGUGUGGUGGCAUGCACCCGUAGUUCCAGCUACUCAGGGGGCUGAGGCAGGAGAAUCACUCACUGAGGAGGCAAAGUUUGCAGUGAGCCAAGAUCACACCACUGCACUCCAGCCUGGGUGACAGAGACCCUGUCUCAAAACAAAAACAAAAACAAAACAAACAAACAAACAAAAACUAUGCGAGAAACAUAAUUUUUAGUCAAUAGAACUUGUGUGUGUGGUGUAAUGAAUAGUCUUCCUUCCUAAUUUAGUUUGGUUUUAUAUUGAGUGUUGGUUGUAGGCAAGGGUUACCCCAACCCAGAUAAAUACCCUGCUUCACAAAUACAAAUCCAUGCAUAAAAUGAUUUUGGAAAGUGGAAAAGGAGAAAAUAUAGAGCUGGAAGGUUGGACCAGGUGUUUCGCCUUCCAGGGGAAGGGGCAGGAAGUGAGAUGUGUUUUCAGGUGCUCUCUGAUGCACUAGAAUCUGCUACCCACUAUCUGAGAGCUGAGUGUGCAUCAUCUGGGUACCUUGUAUGAAAAGUUGGUACCUGGAAAAAGGGCACUUGUCCCACCGGCAGCAAACAUAGGGACCUUUGAGGGAAGUAUUUUGUCACCAUGUGUGUAUGAAGGAAAGGGCCCAUCGUCCCACAGUUCUUGCUUGGUAUACACAAGUGUACUAGUGCACUAAAAAAGCUCACUUCAUUCUAAGGGAAAUUCUGUUGAAUCAUGGGAUUAUUCUUCUUUGUCAGUGGACUUACUAAAGUGUCCUAAAGAAAGGAUGAAAAAAUAACUCACACUUGAAUGCUGUAAACCUGAUGAGUCACCAUUGCUUAAUCUUCCUACAAUGCUGGCCUAAAAGGUUCUCUUGAAACAGUAAAGGGCAAAUUCUACAAUCCCUUUUAUAUAUAACGAGGUCCCAAAGUGAUAGGGUUAGAAUGUAGCCAAAACAAAGUGAUCCUUGGUUUUAGAAAUCUUUAACAGGCUGGACAUUGUGGCUCACACCUGUAACCCCAGCACUUUGGGGGCUGAGCCAGGAGGAUUACUUGAGUCUAGGAGUUCAAGACCAACCUGAGAAACAUAGUGAGAACCUCAUCUCUACAAAAUAUUAAAAACUAGCUGGGUGUGGUGGUGCACACCUGUAGCUUUAGCUACACAGGAGGCUAUGGUGGGAGGAUCGCUUGAGCCCAGGAGGCAGAGGCUGCAGUGAGCCAAGAUUGUACCACUGUACUCCAGCCUUGGGAAUAGAGUGGGAGCCUAUCUUUAAAAAACUAGUAAUCUUUAAUAACCUAGACUGCAGUGUGACCAUCACUUUUUUUCUCUGUUAUAACUAAGGCCUUAUCUGCUAUGCAAAUCACUGGUAACCAAGAGGUCAUCAUUCACUAAAGAAGCAGUCCAGGCAAUAGACAGGUUUGACAAGUGAUUUCAAUUACUGAGUCCAACAACUGAUGAGCACCCCAGAGUUUAUGGAAAUAGUCACUGCCAGUGCCUUACAGACAUGUUCUUAGAGGGAUGAAGACAGCAAGGGAACACCUACAACACAUGAAGUUGUUGAUAAGAUCUGGUUAGCUUUUUUCCUUAGAGAAGAAAAAAGAAUGAAAAAGAAAUGAACAUUGACUACAAGACAGAAAAUUACCUUAAAAGACCAAAUCUAAGAAUUACUCAUGUUAAAGAAAAAGUUGAGCAAGAGCAAAGAGUAGAAAACUUAUUAAAAGAAAAACAGUAAUAGAAAAACUUUCCAAAACUUGAGAAAGAGAUAAAUAUUCAGGUACAGGAAAGUCAGAGAACACCAAACAGAUUCAAACCAAAUAAGUCUACCCUGAGGCAUAUAAUGAUCAAACUGUCAAAGAUCAAGAACGAAGAAAGCAUCAAAAAGCAGCAAGAGAAAAGAAUCACAUAUAAAGUAGCACCAGUUUCGUAAGAUUUAUCAACAGAAACCAUACUUCUCAAUAGCCAUGGAAGAAAAGGAGACAGUUUCAAAAUGCAGAAAAAAAGAAAAUCUGCCAUCCAAAAAUAUUGUAUUCAGAAAAGCUACCCUGCUAUCCCUCAAAUAUGAAGGAGAGAUAAAAGCCUUUCCCAGACCAAAAAAAAAAAAAAAAAAAAAAAAAGUGGAGAGAAUUCACCAUCAUCAUAUUCACCUUACAAGAAAUGCCAAAGGGAGCUCUUCGAUCUAAAAGAAAAAUAUUGGCUGUGAGUGGUGGUUCAUGCCUAUAAUCCCAGCAUUUUGGGAGGCCAAGGUGAGAGGAUUGCUUGAGCUCAGGAGUUCAAGGCCAGCCUGUGCAGCAUGGCAAGACCCUGUCUCCACAAAAAACAAUUUGCUGGGCAUGGCAGUGCCUGUAGUCCCAGCUACUUGGGAGGCUGAGGCAGGAGGAUUGCUUGAGCCCAACCAUUUGAGCCUGCAGUUAGCUAUAAUAGUGCACCACUGCACUCCAGCCUGGACAACAGAGCUAAACCCUUUCUCAAAAAAAAAAAAAAAAGGAAAAGAAAAGAAAAAACCCACUAAUGGGCAAAAAGAAAAUAUUUAAAGCUUUAAAACCCACUGGUAAAAUUAAAUACAGGGACAAGCCCAGUAUUACUCUAAUAUUGCAAUUAUGGUAUAUAAUCCACAUCAUAAGUAUAGUAUAUAAAUCUAUCUAGUAUAAAGCCCCAAAAACAAAUCAAUCAAAACCAAUAAUAGUUAUAGCAAUCUGUUAAGAGAUAGGGAAUAUAAAGAUAUAUAAAUUGAGAUAACAUAAAGCCAAAAUGUGGGGAGAAUGAAGUUAAAAUGUAGAGUUUUGUUUUUUUUUUAACUUUUUUUUCAUUGUAUAAGUCAGGGUUUCACCAUGUUGGUCAGGCUGAUCUUGAACUCCCAACCUCAGGUGAUCCUCCCACCUCGGCCUCCCAGGAGAUUUUUUUGAUUUUGUUUUUGUUUUUACAUUUUUCUUUGUUUCUAGUAUUUUCUGUGUGAUCUAAGUUAUUAUUUCUUUAAAAUAACUUAUAUCCAUAAAAUUUUUUUUGUAAGCCCUAUGGUAACCACAAUGCAAAAGCCUAUAAUAGAUUUACUAAAAAUAAAAAGCAAUGCAUUAACACAUACUAUCAGAGAAAAUCACUUAACCACAAAGGAAGACAGUAAGAAAGGAAGAGAGGAGUUACAAAACGGCCAGAAAACAAGCAACAAAAUGGCAGUAGUAAGUACUUACCUAAACAAAAACACUGAAUUUAAAUGGACUCAGUUCUCCAAUUUAGACAUAGAAUGGCUAAAUGGAUAAAGAAAUAAGACCUGACUAUAUGCUGCCUACAAGAAAACCAUUUCACUUCUAAUAUGAAGGGAUGGAAAAAGAUAUUCUAUGUAAUUGGAAACCAAAAAAAACCAGCAGGAGUCAGUAGCUUUACUUAUAUCAGAUAAAACAGACUACAGAUCAAAGACUGUAAAAAGAGCAAAGAGGUAAUUCGGCAAGAGGAAACAAGUUUAAAUAUCUAUGUACCCAAAGGAAAUAAGUAUAAAUACCUUGUAUCUGACAACAGAGCUCCCAAGUAUAUAAUGCAAACAUGAAUAGAUCUAAAGGGAAAGAUAGACUGCAAUACAAUAAUAGUAGGAGACUUCAACACUCUACUGCCAGUAAUGGACAGGUCAUCCAGACAGAAAAUCAAGACACAUUGGAGAUAAACUACACGCUAGACCAAAUUAGGCCUAACUGACACAGAACAUUUCACCCAACUGCUGCAGAAUACGUUUUCUUCAUCAGCACAUGGAACAUUCUCCAAAACAGACUGCAUGUUAGGUCACAAAACAAGUCUCAACAAAUGCAAAAAAGUACAAAUCAUAUCAAGUAUAUUUUCUGACCGCAAUGGAAUAAAACUAGAAAUCAAUAACAAGAGGAGCCUUGGGAAAUACACAAACACAUAGAAAUUAACACACUCCUGAAUGACUUACGGUCAAUGAGGAAAUUAAGAAAAAUUUUUUAAAUUUCUGGAAACAAAUGAAAAUGAAAAAUGACAUGCCAAAAUGUGUCGCAUACAACAAAAACAGUACUAAGAGGGAAUUUUAUAGCAAUAAAUGCCUGUACUGAAAAGGUAGAAGAAAGACUUCAAAUAAACAACCUAAUGAUAUACCUCAAGAAACUAGAAAAGCAAGAACAAACUAAACUCAAAAUUAAAAAAAAAUAUAAUAAAGUUCAGAGCAGAAAUAAAUGGAGACUAAAAAAUAUAGAAAAUCAAUGAAAUGAAAAGAUAUUUUUUCAGAUAUUAACAAAAUUGACAAACCUUUAGCUAAAUUAACUAAGUAAAGAGAGAAGACUCAAAUAAAUAAAAUUAUAAAUGAAACAGGAGACAUAAUAACUGACACCACAGACAUACAAGAAUCAUUAGAGGCUAUUAUGAAUAACUACAUGCCAACAAGUGGCAAAACCUAGAAGAAAUGGGUAAAUUCCUGGACACAUACAACCUACCAAGAUUGAAACCAUGAAGAAAUAGAAAAUUUCAACAAACUAAUAAUGAAUAAUGAGAUUGAAGUCAUAAUAAAAUGUCUUCUAUUAAAGAAAAGUCUAGGACCUGAUGGCUUUAUUGCUGAAUUCUGCCAAACAUUUAAAGAAAAAUGAUGACCAAUACAAAUGCUUCAUAAGAAUUGAAGAGAAGGGAAUAUUUCCAAACUCAUUCUGUAAGGCUUGCAUUACCCUGAUACCAAACCGAAGACACAACCAAAAAAGAAAACUAUAGGCCCUAAUCACUGAUGAACAUUGAUGCAAAAAUCCUCAACAAAAUACUAGCAAAUGGAAUUCAACAACACAUUAAAAAGAUAAUUCAUCAUGAUCAAGUAGGAUUCGUUCUAGGAACGCAAGGAUGGUUCAACAUACAAAUCAAUAAACACAAUAUAUCACAUUAAGAGAACCAAGAACAAGAACAAAUUAUUUCAAUAGCUGCUGAAAAAGCAUUCAAUAAAAUUAAACAUGACUUUAUGAUAAAAAAAAAAGACCCUUCAACAAACUAGGUAUAGAAGAAAUGUACUUCGAAAUAAUAAAGACUAUGUAUGAAAAACUCAGCUAAUAUCAUACUGAUAGGGAAAAACUGAGAGCCUUUUCUUUAAAAUCUGGAACCAGACAAAGAUGGCCACUUUCACUACUUUUAUUCAACAUACUAUUGGAAGUUUCAGGGCAAUAAGGCAAGAUGAAGAAAUAAAGGGCAUGUAAAUUGGAAAGAAAGAAAUUUAAAUUAGCUUUGUUGGCAGAAGACAUGAUAUUACACUUAGGAAAACCUAAAGACUCCACCAAACAACUGUUGAAACUGCUAAGUGAAUUCAGUAAAGGUUCAGUAUACAAAAUCAACAUACAAAAAUCAAUAGCAUUUACAUCUGCCAAGAGAAACAAUCUGAAGUAUCCAUCUGAUGAGGGAUUAAUAACCAAACUAUAUAAGGAGUUCAAACAACUCAAAAGCAAAAAAAAAAUCUGAUUUUAAAAUGGGCAAACGAUGUGAAAAGGCAUUUCUCAAAAAAAAAAAAAAAAGACAUAGAGGAACAAGAGGUAUAUGAAAAAAAUGCUUAAUAUUACUAAUAAUCAGAUAAUACAAAUCAACAAUAUAAUCUCACCCCAGUUAAAAUUGCUUUUAUAAUAAAGACAGGGAAUAGUAAAUGCUGGCAAGGAUGUAGAGAAAGGGAACCCUUGUGCAUUGUUGGUGGGAACAUAAAUUAGUACAACCACUACGGAGUAUCAUAUAGAAGGUCCUCAAAAAACUAAAAAUAGAAUUACCAUUUGAUCCAGCCAUUCCACUACUGGUUAUAUAUCUGUAUUAAUCCGUUUUCAUGCUGCUGAUAGACAUACCCAUGACUGGGAACAAAGAGGUUUAAUUGGUCUUGCAGUUUCACAUGGCUGGGGAGGCCUCAGAAUCAUGGUGGGAGGCAAAAGGCACUUACAUGGCUGUAACAAGACAAAAUAAGGAUGUAAAAGCGGAAACCCCUGAUAAAACUAUCAGAUCUUGUGAGAUUUAUUCACUAUCAUCGGAAUAGUAUGAGGAAAACUGCCCCCAUAAUUCAAAUUAUCUCCCACAGGGCCCUCCCACAAUACAUGGGAAUUAUAGGAGUACAAGUUGAGAUUUGGGUGGGGACACAGAGCCAAACCAUAUCAAUACCCAAAAUAUAAGAAUCAACAUGUUGAAGAGAUAUCUACACUCCCAUGUUUAUUACAGCACUAUUUACAUAGCCAAAAUAUGAAAUCAACCUAAGUGUCCAUCAGUGGAUGACUGGAUAAAGAAAAUGUGGUGUAUAUAUGCAAUGGAGUAUUAUUCCACCAUGAAAAGUUGAAAUCUUGUUAUGUGCAGCAAGAUAGAUGGAACUGGAGGUGGUUAAGUGAAAUAAACCAAACACAGAGAGACAAAUAUCACACAUUCUCAUUCCUAUGUGGGAGCUAAGAAAGUGGAUCUCAUGAAGAUGAAGAGUAGAUUGGUGGUUACCAGGGGCCAAGAAGGGUAGGGAGAAAUGAAGAGAGGUUGAUUAAUGGGUACAAAUAUACAGUUUGAGAGAAGAAAUAAGACCUAGUAUUUGAUAGGUCAGUAGAAUACCUAUAGUUUACAAUAAUUUUUUUGUAUUUCAAAAUCACUAGAAUUAAAAUGUUUCUACCAUAAAGACAAAUAUUUAAUGUGAUAGAUAUCCCAAUUACACAGAUUUGUUCCUUAUUACCUGCAUGUAUUAAAUUAUCACAUUGACCCUCAAAAUAUGUACAUCAUUAUGUAUCAAUCAAAACUUAAAAUGAAAAAAAUCCCUAAAACUGAAACUAUUUGCAGCUCAAAGUUCUACUAGUAUGUUAAAAUACAGAACAUGUGUAAGUCUUCCUAAGUUGUCUCAGAACCAGUGACUUCAUUUGUCGGAGGGUGUGCACGCAGGUCUAGCAUGCCAUACCAAGCUGUUAGGCAUGACAGUGAAUUCUCAGUUACUGGAGCUCUAACUUGGAACACCCAGAGGCAUCUAGCGAAGGUCUGUUUUCAGAAGAGUGUGUGGGGGUUGGGGGGUAACGGGAUGCAGCUCUGAAGUGAAAAUGAACUUCCAACAAAUGAAUGCCCAGUGUUAAAAGUUCUUGAGAAUGACCUACAGCCAACUCUUGUUGGCUUGUGGACUUCACAAAAGGUCUACAAAAAUAUGCCUUUUUAGGAUUCCUACUUACCGCCUGAGUAAGUAAAAGUUGAGAGCCACGAGCAAAACAACCUAAAGAUGCAAGAAGGGUCUUGAGGGGAGGAGGGGUGGGGCCGGGAGCGGGUCUGAGUUGCUACAAGCUGACCAAGUGCAAGCUUUGAGCGCUACACAUCCUAGCAGCCUUGAGAAGCAGGUGAGCAAGUCUCCUCACACCAGCAAGGCGUUGCUCACAGCAUUAAGAAUGUUGCCUGAGGAAGUUGGGGCUUCUACAAUUAGACCCUGAGGGAUGUCGGGGUGGGGCUGUGUGGUGUAAGCCCAGCCCCACCUGAGCCACAAGGGAGCUGUGGGCCAUCUUCCAGUCUCAAUUUUCGAAACUGUCAUUUGAUGGGUGAUAAUGUUAAAACAUUUUGUCUUAAAGAAGCCGUAGCUUAUAGAGUAGAAAGUAAAAUUCAUACAAAAAUAUUUGUAAAGACACAAAACCAGAAAAAUACAACUUUUGCUCUGCUGGCCACUCUGAGCAGGAUCCCAGAUCCCUGGAGAUUGAAGGGACUCUGCUUUGAAUGCUGUGACCUGAGUCCUGGCCCUGCAUAUGCCGAGGAGGAGGGAGAUGGGAACAUGCUGGGAUGGGCUGGGGGUCCAUGUUGCACUGGGGCUGCACAAGCAGUUGCAGGAAGGGAGAGUGGAGGGAGGUGGCAUUAGUGACAACAGCCACAGAGUGGAGAACAGCGAUGAAGGCAGCCGAGUCUGGGGCACACUGGGAACAGAGUAGCAGCAGAUCUUCUGAUAUCAGAGGCUAGAGCUGUUAAGAGACAGAAGCUAGGGCCAGCCUUUCCUUGGGGAGGAAGCCACCAACACCUAGCAUCUCUCCAGAAGGGUUCACAGUUGUCUGGGCUGAAGCAGCUUGCAGGACAAGGGACCUUAAUUCUCUGUCCCUCACUACUGGGAUCCACAGAGAGACCUCCACCUAGCAGCAGCAUCCAAGAAGGACAUUUUGGGUAGACUCAUAGACAUAA